rnacentral:rRNA from 1 species
AGUAAAGCAGUGACCUUGCCUGUCCAACCUUUCUGCGAAUGGCUCAUUAAACCAGCUACACUCUAUGCAGAGGAUGCUUCUUUUUCGUGUCGAAGGGGUGGGUGGUUCGCCGCUCGCCUAUCCCAGGAGUCCACUUCUGCGGUCAAAGGAGACAACCACUGCCUCAUACCACAGGUUUGGGACCUCGGUCUCAUCGGAGUGGCAGAGCGGAUGGUUCGGCCCAGAGGAGGAAGUGGAGAGGUGCUCCAGCUCUUGGCGGUUUGCUUUUUUCAAGGAGGCGAUUUCGGAUACCUUUUCUGAAACAGAAAGCUAAUACGUGUGGUGCAGGCGCUCUCUGGGGCCCAGUCCUUGAGAUAUCAGGUGGAUAUCCCUAACCUUGUUUGUCCCCGACGGGGGAACUCAAGGGUGGGGUUGCUCAAGGCUGGCCUUAAGAGUAGUGCCGGUCCCCCUGCCCGGUCUUGUGGGGACCACCCCUUUCAGGGGUUGACCCAAGCCUUUCUGUGGAUGAUUCAUGGGGAUUCCGUGCUGGAGGAGCUUCCUUUGAAGAUCGCACCUUUUACCGAAGUUGCAUUAGCAGUGGUCUUUCUGCAAGCCCUGCCUCUCUGGUAGAGUUUCUGCCCUAUCAGCCUUGGAGGAUGAGGUUUCGGCCCAUCAUGGCUAUAACGGGUAACGCGGAAUUAGGGUUCGAUUCCGGAGAAGGAGCCUGAAAGACGGCUACUACGACCAAGGUUGGCAGCAGGCACGCAAAUUGCUCAAUAUCGAUGUGUUUUGGUGAAGCAGCGACGAGAAUUGCGACCCGUUCUAGGUUGAUUCCUAGGAUUGGUGGAAUGAAUGAGGACCUAAGGAAUGCAGUGAGCAUCCACUUGAGGGCCAGUCUGGUGCCAGCAGCCGCGGUAAUUCCAGCUCAAGUGGCCUACUUUGACGUUGUUGCUGUUAAAAAGCUCGUAGUUGGUUGGCAUCCAAGGGUUUACUCUCUGGUCACAGGAGUGAAGGCCUCCCUCGGGGGACCCUGAACUCCUUGGCCUUAGGCACCAAUAGGUGCGGGGUUUGCCUUUGAUGUGCCUUCCUCUGCCUUCUCCCUCCUCUGCAGGGGAAUGCAGGGUCACCUUCCUCUCCUUCGUGGUGUUCCCUUCGGGGUUCACGUGGUUGGUUUGGGGGUCCCUGUUGUUCUCUGGAAUGCGGUCCAGCAAUGGGCAUGUUUUCCCAGGGGAGAGCUAGGGAAGAACAGAGGUUGGUCGAUGGGAGCGAUUCUCCGUUGUUUGGGGUUCCUUGAGGCUUUCAUGGCAGCCGAGACCUGUUUUCACUGCGGUGUGCAAGACCUGUCUUUCGACCGCUUGGAAUAGGGGCCUUACCCUCGGGUUUGGAAAAAUCUCCCUUCUCCUUGCAACUGAAGAUGGUCUUCGCCACCAACGUGGCUCGUUGUGGGUCUCACCCACGCUGGGGGAUAUUCCAGCGGCUGUGUAUGUAUUGCCUUGGGGAAACUCUCAGACGCUUGGCUGCCUACAUCCUGAAGUUGCCGAGGGGCACCGACGCGCUUUUCCCAGGUUAUGAGGUGGUCCUUUCUCCUGCUUUUCUGAGGUUUUCCCCUCGGGGAAUUCUGAGGGACUGUGGUACAGGGAGGCCCUUCUGGCCUAGCGAGUCCUAGAGUGUGCCCACAAAGGAGAUGCCCAUUGGCUUUUUCCAUGAACAAACCAGGGCGAUUAAAGCGGUUGACACUCUUCCGAUCGAAUGUGAAAGCAUGGCCUAUCAAGGGAUCGGUCCUUCGGACCAGAGUUCUGGUAUUCUUUACUGAACCAUGCAGGAAGAAGUUUGGCUUUUCCAUGGCUUAGGGGUGUUCUCCCCCUUCGAACCCGUCCUCCCAUGAGGGACCUCGUUGUGGCAGUUUACACUGUGGGGACCUCGGUCCCUGUUUCACUUCGAGUAUCCUUAAAGGGGAGGUUUCUGGGCUUUGAAGGAUCCAUGGGAGUAAUCCCCUUCGCUGAGGGAAGUCAACGUGAUGACGGAGAUCGAUUCGGUGCUCAGGGUACUGGAGGGCGAGCGGUGAAAUGCUUUGACCCCUCUCAGGACCACCAGAGGCGAAAGCGCUGAGCGGGUUUCGAUCUGCCAAUCAAGAACGAAUGUGCGGUGAUCGAAGAGGAUUAGAUACCCUCGUAGUCCGCGCUGUAAACUGUGCCUUCUGAGGAUGUUGACCGUGUUCCUUCGGAAUAUCGGUCUAUGUCCUACCCCCACAACGAGAAAUCCAAGAGUAUGGGUUCAGGGGGAAGUACGCUCGCAAGACUGAAACUUAAAGGAAUUGACGGAAUGGUACCACAAGGCGUGGAGCUUGCGGCUCAAUUUGACUCAACACGGGAAACGUUACCUGGAUAGCACGAGGGCAGGACAUGACAGGCUGAAUCCCUUUCUCAAUGACUCGAAAAGUGGUGCAUGGCCGUUCCUGGUUGGUGAAGUGAUUUGUCUGGUUGAUUCCGACAACGAACGAGGUCUUCCCCUUCCAGUAGGCAGCGUUCUCGCUCGCAAGUAGGGCUUCCUUUGGUCCCGUUAUGGGUGGUUGAUUGCUUAUCUCCCCUCGGGGAGGUUUGCGUCACCACCUGGGGCCAUAGGGACCCGAGAGCAGCGCGUUUGCUUCUCAGUGGGACCGGGCACCUUGUACUUGUACUAAGUGUCCCUAUCCAGAAGCCGACAGCAGGUCUGUGAUGCCCUUAGAUGCCCAGGGCUGCACGCGCACGACAAUGGGGUGGUCAGCGAGUGCAGUACCCUUGCCGGAGAGGGGUGACUUGGGGAAGUAAGGUUCGUCCUCUUUCCUGGGUUGUCCUUUUCCGGUAUCCAGGAGGACCCCUGUUUUGACGAUAAAGUAGGAAAUCCCUUAAGCCAAAACCGUGAAUGGGGAUCGGUGAUUGCCACUGUUUGCCUUUAACGAGGAAUGCCUAGUAAGUGCAGGUCAUCAGCCUGUGCUGACUACGUCCCUGCCAUUUGUACACACCGCCCGUCGUUGCUACCGAUGGUGUUGAGAUAGAGACCAAAGGAGGCUAGUAGCUUGGGUCAGGCUUAGCGGAGGUUCGCCCCUGCUUUCCAACCCCUUGUGAACGACAAAUUGGGUCAAUAUCUCAUUGCUGGAGGAAGCAAAA